GUCUAUGGCCAUGCCACCCUGAACAAGCCUGAUGUCUGAUCUCAGAAGCUAAGCAAGGUCGGACCUGGUUAGUACUUGGAAGGGAGACCGCGUAGGAAGACGAGAUGCUGUAGGCA
rnacentral:rRNA from 1 species